GAUCAGGUGGCCGAGUGGUUAAGGCGAUGGACUGCUAAUCCAUUGGGGUUUCCUAGUGCCGAGUGGUUAAGGCGAUGGACUGCUAAUCCAUUGGGGUUUCCCCGCGUGACCUCGAAUCUCAUCCUGAUCG
rnacentral:tRNA from 1 species